rnacentral:misc_RNA from 1 species
UUUCCGUAGGUGAACCAGCGGAAGGAUCAUUAUUGGAUUUUGAAACUUCAGGCUGCUGCUGGCUCUCCUCGGAGGGCAUGUGCACGCUUGUUGUCCAUUAUUUCUCCCACUGUGCACAAAUUGUAGACCUUUCAGUAGGCCUAUGUUGUUUUUCACAAUCUCUGAAUGCAAUAGAAUGGUUUUGAAUCUUGGGAAAUACAAUACAACUUUCAGCAACGGAUCUCUUGGCUCUC